UGAGGCAGGAGAAUUGCUUGAACCCAGGAGGUGGAGGUUGCAGUGAGCUGAGAUCGUGCCACUGCACUCCAGCCUGGGUGACAGAGUGAGACUCCAUCUC
rnacentral:miRNA from 1 species